UAGUUUCUUUAGUUGAAGUA
rnacentral:tRNA from 1 species